rnacentral:rRNA from 1 species
AGUGAACGCUGGCGGUAGGCCUAACACAUGCAAGUCGAACGGCAGCACUGGAGAGCUUGCUCUCUGGGUGGCGAGUGGCGGACGGGUGAGGAAUACAUCGGAAUCUACUUUUUCGUGGGGGAUAACGUAGGGAAACUUACGCUAAUACCGCAUACGACCUACGGGUGAAAGCAGGGGAUCUUCGGACCUUGCGCGAUUGAAUGAGCCGAUGUCGGAUUAGCUAGUUGGCGGGGUAAAGGCCCACCAAGGCGACGAUCCGUAGCUGGUCUGAGAGGAUGAUCAGCCACACUGGAACCGAGACACGGUCCAGACUCCUACGGGAGGCAGCAGUGGGGAAUAUUGGACAAUGGGCGCAAGCCUGAUCCAGCCAUACCGCGUGGGUGAAGAAGGCCUUCGGGUUGUAAAGCCCUUUUGUUGGGAAAGAAAUCCAGCUGGUUAAUACCCGGUUGGGAUGACGGUACCCAAAGAAUAAGCACCGGCUAACUUCGUGCCAGCAGCCGCGGUAA